rnacentral:lncRNA from 1 species
CUGCGAUCCAACAUUUUUUAGCUGCCUAAGCUCAGCAACCAGAUGCUCCUUGGCCAUCAGGUCCCCUUCUCUGAACAGGAGGGGUGGGACGAGCGCCCGAGGACAGCCCUGCUGCAUCUGGGCUGGGCUGCUGCAGACUCUCCCAUGGAGAAUGCUCCUCUAGGAAAGGCCUUUGAGUCCUCUCCCCAGCCUGGCCUCAUAAGUGACUUCAUCCUCUGUCCCAGCAGAUGCCAAGGAGCUUACUCAACAGAUGAAGUUAUGAUGAGCAACAGGGUAACGGGACUGAUCAGUACAAGCUAGGGGAUUUAAGGACAGAGCGCAGCCCUGCUGUAAGGGACCUGAGGGUGCUGGUGGAUGGCAACAUCGACAUAAGCCAGCAAUGUGCCCUCACAGCCCAGAAAGCCAACUGGAUCCUGGACUGCAUCCAAAGCAAUGCAGUCAGCAGGUCAAGGGAGGUGAUCCUGUCCCUCUGCUCUGCACUAUAAGACCUCACCUGGAGUACUGUGUCCAAAUGUGGAGUCCUCAGCAAAGGAGAGACGUGAACUUGUUGGAGUUCAUCCAGAAGAGAGAACACCUCCCCUACGAAGAUAGGCAGUGAGAGCUGGGGCUGUGCAGCCUGGAGAAGGAGACCUGAGAGCAGCCUUUCGUUACGCAAAGGGAGGCUCCUUAGCAGUGGACACUCUUUAGCAGUGUCUGCUGUGGUAGAACAAGGGGAAAUGGUUUCAAACUAAAAGAGGGGAGAUUUAGGUUGGAUAUAAGGAAGAAAUUUUUUACAGUAAUGGUGGGGGGGCACUGGCACAGGUUGCCCAGGGAGGUGCUGGAUGCCCCGUCCUUGGAGAUAUCCAAGGUCAGGCUGGACGGGGCUCUGAGCACCUGAUGGAGCUGUGGGAGUCUCUGUUCAUUGCAGAGGGAUUGGAAUAGAUGAUCUUUAAGUCUUCCUUUCAACUCAAAUGAUACUAUGAUUUUAUGAUGCAAGGGUGGAGGAGGUCUCAGGUGAAGAGAACUGAUUUUGGUGAGAAACCCUGCCUGUUGCCACAGGGCUCUGGUGGUCUUCAGACAUAUACAGUUACUAGGCCUAAGGCCAUGUGUGACUGAGAAGAAAAGCUCCUGGAGUGGAAAAUUCCAAUCAUUGACUUAAUGAGGACAAAAUUCAUAUUUGUAUUGGGGGAAAAAAAAAACAACAGUAAAAGCUGCAAUUGAGAAGCCCAUCCUUGAACUGUGACCAAAUGGGAACUGGAAAAACCAAGAAUUUAUAAAUGAAUGUCACAUUUUCCCUUAUAUGUGCUGGUCCACCUGGAGC